UACGAACCGUCCAAACGUUAUUCGGAAUUACUGGGCUUAAAGGGUUUGUAGGCGGCCUUGUAAGUGGGGUGUGAAAUCCCUCGGCUCAACCGAGGAAUAGCGCUCCAAACUACAUGGCUUGAGGGAGACAGGGGUAAGCGGAACUGAUGGUGGAGCGGUGAAAUGCGUUGAUAUCAUCAGGAACACCGGUGGCGAAAGCGGCUUACUGGGUCUCUACUGACGCUGAGAAACGAAAGCUAGGGUAGCGAACGGG
rnacentral:rRNA from 1 species